AACGGCGCUUUCGGUGUCGCUCAAAAACAAAUCAAUUAACUUUUAGAAACGAAAAACAACAACAUUUAGUUUAUACUCAAAUCUUACAUUUCGUAAAUGCAUUUAAUGCGUUAUAACCAACUAAAACACAGACGCUCUGACAAGGUAAAAAAAUAGCACGUUUUGACUGCAGCAAACUAAAAUUGUUUUACGGAAACAUUAUUCAAGUUGUCACCGACGAUGGGGGAAUACCCUGUGCUGGAUAUUUGGUUUUAAUAUUUUAUCCACUGCAAAAUUUGUGCGUGUUUUCAUAAGCAUUGGGUUUUGUUUGCGACACAAAUGAGUAUUUCUGCCUUCAUUGUUUACGUUUUAACCAAAAAACAUGUUCGCGAGGAUACCUGUUCGCAUAAUUGAGAUGAUUAAUCGCCGCCGGCGUUCUCUUUGUCCGAAAAGAACAGCUUUUCGAAAUUAUGCUGGCUAGAUUUAGUCGAAAAACACAGCAGUUGUAAUGGCUACAAGUAUGCGCAGAUUUGUCUCUUAUUCUUUUGUUUUAGUUUGCUUAGGCACUUUUAGCCUUGUGCAUUCCCAAAGUAUCGUCGACGUCCGACUAUUCCCAUUAACCAACAGCUAUCCAGUUCUACCUUUGAGCAGCGGCGCAUUGGAUGUUCAAAUAAACGAAUUGUCGAGUUACUCGUGGCUUUAUGUAUGUUAUGAUGACUGGAGUGAUGCGAACUCGUUUGUGGCUUGUGGAAAUCUUGGCUACCCGGGAUAUACAUCUCAUUCACCUAUUGCACCACUCAGUCCAACCGCACUUCUCAUAAGCUGCACCGGGACCGAAAGCUCAUUGGAUGAAUGCCAACACGUGACAACCAGCACAUGCCGAUCAGGUCACACGUAUGUGAGUUGCAGCCUUAGGGACAACCAGGUUCAAAGAUACAUUCGGCUGCGAGCAAUAGGCCUAACUGGUGUAGGUCGCGUCCAGAUUGCCGUUAAUUCAGUAUGGGGAUCAAUUUGUGGCCACAACUGGGACCGUGCAAGCGCAAAUGUUGCAUGUAGACAACUGGGCUAUGGAACUGCUCGAGAACAUUAUUCCGGCGUUCAAUUUGGUCAAGGACAUGGGACCAUCACAGUCUCCAGUAUUAAUUGUCAUGGCAACGAAACCAAUCUAGAACAAUGCCAGUACGAGCUCAUUCCACUCAUGAGUGAUUACACUAAUUACAGCAUGGAUGGUUGUUCGCAACGUAACCUUGCAGGGGUGUCGUGUAAUACACCAAAUUACGGUCAUCAAGAAUCGAUCGCGUUGGUGGACAGUCCUGCAGGUCAACCCUCCGUUGGCCGAGUUGUGGUUCGUGUUGGUAGUGUUUGGGGAAGUAUAUGUAGUAAUCGUUGGACAAUAAGAGAAGCUGCAGUGGUGUGUCGUCAGUUGGGUCUCGGGUAUGCACACAGCAGUUUGCAGGACGUAUGGCAAAUGACAGCUAGUGGUCAAGGUUUGCGAACUGUUGCUACAAACGUGGUUUGCACGGGAAACGAGGAUGCCUUGAGUGAAUGCGAGUAUUUCAUUAACUACGAUCCGUUUGGUGCUGACUGUGGAAGUGGUUGGACAACUACUGCAGCUUACGUUGGCGUGGUUUGCUCCAACGAGUUGCCAGACCUACAGCUUGAUAUGGCGGAUUUGACAAACUCUAUGUGGGUUGACGUGUUACACAUGAACUACUUGAGAUGCGCAGCGGAAGAGCGUUGCUUGUCGACGUCCGGUUAUUAUCCUUCCAACUCGAACUCAACAAGAAAAUUACUCAGAUUUACAACCAGUGUAUGGAAUAGAGGAACUGCUGCCUUCAGACCUUGGCUCCAAAGCAAUGCUUGGGAGUGGCACGCGUGUCAUGGUCAUUUCCACAGCAUGGCUGAAUUUGCUCAUUUCGAUAUUUUAUCUAUUGACACAUUUGAGCGUGCUGCUGAGGGGCACAAAGCGAGUUUCUGCUUAGAAGACAGCGUUUGUCAAGAGGGCGUUUCAAAACGUUAUAGAUGCACGACCGAAACAACGCCGACACCACAAGGAAUAUCGGCUGGGUGCGCUGAUACGUACUUUGCUCAGUACGACUGCCAGUGGAUUGACGUCACAGAUGUAAGCAACGGAGAGUAUUAUCUUCGGGACCAGAAUAUAGAAUGUAAAGGUUUCCCAUCUCUCCCACCCUGCUAUAACAUAAACCGUUUAGGUGAAUCUAAAUCCAUUGGAAAGUGUUGGAGAAUUAGAUUUUGACAACAACCACAACGUUUGCACGAUUACACUCAAUGACAGAUCAGUUGUUGUGAACCGUUGUUUUAUACCAAGUGACCAGCGAGAAACUUCAUAAGGAAAUAUUUUUCUACAUUCCUUGCAGUUUAUGUGCUGCAGAUUUACAUUUGACGAAACGAAAUGUUUGCGACCGUUUCAAAGAAUAAACCGAUUGCUUUUACAAGAA